CCUCUGCUGACAUUUCUUGACAACAGGCGGAGCUACCGCUGUCAAGAAGUGUCAAUCCCCCAGCUAUUACCAGUGACUGCUACAAGGAAAUUUUUGUGGGAUCCUCCAUAGGCCUCUCUCAAUAUCAGCAGUGAUAUCGGCUCCUGGCAGAUGUAGUGCUAGGGGUAGAAAAGGACAGCAUCCACGACAGGUUCAGGUAAGUAUAAUUCACCUUUUUAUGCCACCCCUGGCCACC